rnacentral:rRNA from 1 species
UCAGUAGAGCGGCGCACGGGUGAGUAACACGUGAGUAACCUACCCUGGGGUGCGGAACAACCAUUGGAAACGAUGGCUAAUGCCGCAUAAGCCCACGGCCAUGCAGGUGGCAGUGGGAAAAGCGGGCUUUCGGGCUCGUGCCUCGGGAUGGGCUCGCGGCCCAUUAGCUAGUUGGUGGGGUAAUGGCCCACCAAGGCUGAGAUGGGUAGCUGGUCUGAGAGGAUGAUCAGCCACACUGGGACUGAGACACGGCCCAGACUCC